GACGAACGCUGGCGGCGUGCCUAAUACAUGCAAGUCGAGCGAAGUUUUUCUGGUGCUUGCACCGGAAAAACUUAGCGGCGCACGGGUGAGUAACACGUAAAGAACCUGCCUCAUAGACUGGGACAACUAUUGGAAACGAUAGCUAAUACCGGAUAAUAGCAUUAACUGCAUGGUUGAUGUUUAAAAGUUGGUUUUGCUAACACUAUGAGAUGGCUUUGCGGUGCAUUAGCUAGUUGGUGGGGUAAAGGCCUACCAAGGCGACGAUGCAUAGCCGACCUGAGAGGGUGAUCGGCCACACUGGGACUGAGACACGGCCCAGACUCCUACGGGAGGCAGCAGUAGGGAAUCUUCCGCAAUGGGCGAAAGCCUGACGGAGCAACGCCGCGUGAGUGAAGAAGGAUUUCGGUUCGUAAAGCUCUGUUGUUAGGGAAGAAUGAUUGUGUAGUAACUAUACACAGUAGAGACGGUACCUAACCAGAAAGCAACGGCUAACUACGUG
rnacentral:rRNA from 1 species